ACGAACGCUGGCGGCGUGCCUAAUACAUGCAAGUUGAGCGCUGAAGGUUGGUACUUGUACCAACUGGAUGAGCAGCGAACGGGUGAGUAACGCGUGGGGAAUCUGCCUUUGAGCGGGGGACAACAUUUGGAAACGAAUGCUAAUACCGCAUAAAAACUUUAAACACAAGUUUUAAGUUUGAAAGAUGCAAUUGCAUCACUCAAAGAUGAUCCCGCGUUGUAUUAGCUAGUUGGUGAGGUAAAGGCUCACCAAGGCGAUGAUACAUAGCCGACCUGAGAGGGUGAUCGGCCAAAUUGGGAAUGAGACACGGCCCAAACUCCUACGGGAGGCAGCAGUAGGGAAUCUUCGGCAAUGGACGAAAGGCUGACCGAGCAACGCCGCGUGAGUGAAGAAGGGUUUCGGAUCGUAAAACUCUGUUGGUAGAGAAGAACGUUGGUGAGAGUGGAAAGCUCAUCAAGUGACGGUAACUACCCAGAAAGGGACGGCUAACUACGUG
rnacentral:rRNA from 1 species